GUAGGUGGCAAGCGUUGUCCGGAAUUAUUGGGCGUAAAGCGCGCGCAGGUGGUUCUUUAAGUCUGAUGUGAAAGCCCCCGGCUCAACCGGGGAGGGUCAUUGGAAACUGGGGAACUUGAGUGCAGGAGAGGAAAGUGGAAUUCCACGUGUAGCGGUGAAAUGCGUAGAUAUGUGGAGGAACACCAGUGGCGAAGGCGACUUUCUGGCCUGUAACUGACACUGAGGCGCGAAAGCGUGGGGAGCAAACAGGGAUUAGAUACCCUGGUAGUCCACGCCGUAAACGAUGAGUGCUAAGUGUUGGGGGGGUUUCCCGCCCCGUCAGUGCUGCAGCCAACGCAUUAAGCACUCCGCCUGGGGAGUACGGUCGCAAGACUG
rnacentral:rRNA from 1 species